rnacentral:rRNA from 1 species
GACGAACGCUGGCGGCGUGCCUGACACAUGCAAGUCGGACGGUUCUUGUAUCUUCAAGCUUGCUUGCAGGUGCAAGGAUAGUGGCGGACGGGUGAGUAACGCGUGAACAUCUACCCAUUGGAGGGGGACAACCCGUCGAAAGGCGGGCUAAUACCGCGUAAGCCGCGAGGUGAGAGGCUGCCUAUUGGUGGCCGCCGAUGGAUGGGUUCGCGUCCUAUCAGCUGGUUGGUGGGUAACGGCCUACCAAGGCGAAGACGGGUAGCCGGUCUGAGAGGAUGGCCGGCCACACUGGAACUGAGACACGGUCCAGACUCCUACGGGAGGCAGCAGUGGGGAAUAUUGGGCAAGUGGGGGAACCCUGACCCAGCCGACGCCGCGUGAGGAUGAAGGUUUUCGGAUCGUAAACCUCUGUUGUACGGGAAGAAGGAUGUGACGGUACCGUACGAGAAAGCCCCGGCAAACCUACGUG